rnacentral:rRNA from 1 species
GAUGAACGCUGGCGGCGUGCCUAAUACAUGCAAGUCGAGCGAACGGACGAGAAGCUUGCUUCUCUGAUGUUAGCGGCGGACGGGUGAGUAACACGUGGAUAACCUACCUAUAAGACUGGGAUAACUUCGGGAAACCGUAGCUAAUACCGGAUAAUAUUUUGAACCGCAUGGUUCAAAAGUGAAAGACGGUCUUGCUGUCACUUAUAGAUGGAUCCGCGCUGCAUUAGCUAGUUGGUAAGGUAACGGCUUACCAAGGCAACGAUGCAUAGCCGACCUGAGGGGGUGAUCGGCCACACUGGAACUGAGACACGGUCCAGACUCCUACGGGAGGCAGCAGUAGGGAAUCUUCCGCAAUGGGCGAAAGCCUGACGGAGCAACGCCGCGCGAGUGAUGAAGGUCUUCGGAUCGUAAAACUCUGUUAUUAGGGAAGAACAUAUGUGUAAGUAACUGUGCACAUCUUGACGGUACCUAAUCAGAAAGCCACGGCUAACUACGUG